rnacentral:rRNA from 1 species
UACGAAGGGGGGCUAGCGUUGCUCGGAAUCACUGGGCGUAAAGCGCACGUAGGCGGAUUGUUAAGUCAGGGGUGAAAUCCUGGAGCUCAACUCCAGAACUGCCUUUGAUACUGGCGAUCUCGAGUCCGGGAGAGGUGAGUGGAACUGCGAGUGUAGAGGUGAAAUUCGUAGAUAUUCGCAAGAACACCAGUGGCGAAGGCGGCUCACUGGCCCGGUACUGACGCUGAGGUGCG